AGGCCUCAUCUUUUUAAGUGGGAGAACUUGCACAAUUGGAGGCUGACUAAAUACUUGUUGCCCAACUGUAUGUGCGUGUGUGAAGCCUGCAUUCAAUUGCCCUCCCCCCGAUACUUUAUUUGGCACUUACUAUAGUAAUUUCUUUAUUUAACCUCUUGAUGGGAAAACGUUUUUAUUUUAAUAAGUUGAACAUGUGCUUUUUAUGACAAAAUGUUAAAAUUAGGUGACAAUUUUUUGGGGGACCAAGUUACUUCUCAAAAGGCACUGUAUUGGUGGAACAACACAUCUCUCAUACGAAGCUAUUAUAGGGACAUUCUCCUGUCGACAUUUCGGAACAAACACAACGCUAACAAAUCUGAGCAGAAAAGGCAUUUCGGGGAUUUGUAUUUUUUAAAUACCAGAGACCUGACCAAACUGCUUUCACAUUUUCAUACCUUGAAAAACAGGUAGUAAAAAUGGAAGGUAUGGCUUUAAAAAGGUCCACCUAAUUUCCUCAGGAAAGGCGGCAGACCUUUCAGAUAGUCAGGUGGUGAAGCAGGAGCAGCACUAACCUACAGGCGCAAAGUAGUAGACCAAGGUUUUUUUUUUCACUUAAGUCUGACAAAUCCUUCUUUGGUCUGAUUCCCUUUUAUUAUUUACAGGAAUAGAACAGAGGCAAAUGCAGCAUCUCUGAAAGUGGUGGUGCAGAGCCUCAUGGCUUUCAACGUUCUUCUCUUGAGAUAUAGUCUGACUGUCCACGGAGGUGGUCAGCCCUGGGCCGUGCAGUGAGUAGUCCCUCUGUUUGGCCAUGGGGCAGGGCGGGACGGGGCACCUGGCGGGACAACUGCUCUCUGCUACCUUAGCAAUGAGUGGCCUCCAUGGGGGAGAGCGUCAAGAUGCUCCGGUCGUUGGAAUAGAAGGGGUCCGAGUUGCUCCUCGAUCUAAAAGCAUCAACGACAGAGGAGUGAGGAGUGGUGGUGGGAGAGGACUAAGCUGAACCUGCCUCGAGUGCUUCUGUCUGUCUCUGACAUGCCUAAAGAUCCUUCAUUUACUGUUGGAUGGAUGGCCAACAAGCCAUUACAUGGUACAGUAAGGGGAUGUCAUGGCACAGGAGUGGUUGACCUUAUCUGUAUUGAUAUGAGGAGGCCCUGCCUUGGAUCUGAAGCCCUGUCAUCCUGCUCAUCUUCCACUGCCUCCCAACCCUGUCUCCUACACUACACUUCAACCUACAGAGGGAGCAGCACAAGCAAACAAAGUCAAACCAAAAAGAGGAGAGGAUAAGCAAACUCUUCAUUUUCCUGAGUAAGCACUCAUUGCGCAGAGCACUGCUGCAGAGGCAGACCUGAACACAUCCCAAGACUAUCGACACUGGUUUGAGGUUACAACGCUCAAUUCCCCCCUCUCCCCACCACUCAGAAACUACUGCAUAUUUGCAACAGCAGCAGAAACAGUGGGCAGAAUGCUGUAGUAUCCAGACAGACAGGAGAACGAACGGGGACGACAUCGAGAGGACAGUUAAACAAACGUGCCAGCAUUCUCCCACCACCCAGGGUGAUCAUGCCCUGAUAGGAUCCCAGCUAAAGUCUCUAGGAGGGAUGGCUCUGGUUAAUGUGUGUGGGGGGGGGCUAUAUGGGGAUGGGUGGACAAUGGUAGUUCAGGAGAGGACCUACACACACAGACGCCUGGCUGGGCCAGGGAAGGAGUAGGACUACUACCUAGGGGAGCAUAGGGCUGGGCCUUGGGCGGGGGGAGGAGAAGCAGCUAGCAGUUGCCAAUUGUCCUCCCCUCGGCUCCAGCUUUCAGCAGAGUCAUAUUCUGAGCUGACUGAACUCUUAUCCUCUUCCAUCUGGAAGCACAAAACAACCCAUUAAGUUUCCCGGACAGAAGGAAACAGGAGAGAACAAGAUGAAUGAGCACAAAAACUACUCCCACACCCAUUAGAGGUACGAGGAUGGCCAUAUAGCAGUUACUGAUCAAUGUGUGUCCAAAACCAUGUGUACACACAUCUUAAUUAGGAGACUGGGCACAAAGAUGUUCCAAAGAACCAAUGAGCCAGUUUAUUCAUUUCAGUGUACUUUCAAUUAUGUAAAUUGAUCAACUAUCUGGAUGACUGAGGAAUUAAUUUAGAAUUUGGAUGAUCAAUUAUUCCGUAAACAAGUCAAUCCAAUUAGGAAAUUGAUCACUUGCUUUUGGAUGGUGUGGUCAUCAUUUUCUCUGCUCAUUGUACAUAUCUUAAGAAACGAAUGCUACUGUUUGAGAGCAUGCUGUCCAGAAUAUGAUCUUGAGAUAGUGAAUAAACUCCUAUGGAAAUAGCAUUCACCAGCCAGAAGCUUUGAAGUUCUUGCUAACUAUAAUUUUGUGCCUCAGAGUUACUGUAUUAGCAGCAGCACACAAACAGACUCAAGCUGUGCUCCACAUGCCGUUAUGGCUGGAGCUUUAUAUUAGGGGCUGCUCUGCCCAAUGCAGAGAGCACUGGUCCUUCUAUGCUAACCUGAAGUGGCGCACAUUUGAUAGAGGCUUUCCUAGGGCCAACAUGCAGGGGUGCAUAACAGGGGUGCAUAACAAAGUGCCUUAGACGUAUCAUUUCCUCUCUUUUUUACCCCCAUUUCCUUUUCCCUAGAAUGCUGGUUAGUUAGUUUGUCCUCUGCAUGCAGACAAGACUUAUUAGGCAGCACAGCCCUCCUACUCUACCUAAUUUUGCCCAGCUGAUUCUUGGCUCUGGAGAGAGGCUGCAGAGCGAUGAAGUCGUCACUUAUAGCGACUCGGUUGGAGUACAUCUACAGAGCAGAGGGAAGGGCGGAACACACAGACAGUCAGUUAGGAGGGAAGAAGACAAAACAUACACAUGUGCGUGCACACACACACGAGGACAUCAGCCAGAGAAAGGAAGAAAGGUGCCUUUAUCAAAGAGACAGGACAUGAGACUCAAGCCUGAGAAAGAAAGAGCUUUUAUCUUCUAAGAACCACCUAGCAGGACUUUACAGAGUGGGGAUGCUAGAAUUUUUGACUGAACAACUAUUUGAUGCAAAAAAGGCCAAUACGUAUAAACAAACAAAAAAACAGGGCAUAACAAUGUCAACCUUUUAAGCAAAGAGGAAAUUGUGACCACAAAAACAGAACAGUUGAAAAGUCUGUUUGAGGAGGCUGUUUAAAAACAAAAACAACUGUGUUCAUGUUGAGUAACAUGCUCCUACCAUCUGGCAUCUACAGUCUAGCUCUCCCACCUAGCAGACACACAGACACGCUACAGUAGGUUUAGAGCUGGAACAGAGAACCUGUUGUUUUGAGCGUGCCUUUGUCAGUUGCACAGUGAAUUGUUGUUCUUGUGUUGUCUGUGAGGUGAAAAGCCAUGCUGUGGUGCGAGUGUCAUGCGUUUCCUGUCAGUGUAUAGUCUGUUACCACAAACGUUGCUGUGAGGGUGUCCUGUGGGUUAGCAACAAGCCGCCCACCCCUCCCCCUCUGUCCUACCUGAGACUUCUGGGUGCUGGUGGGCUGGAGGUGCCUGUAGAACACCUUCUUGAUGAUGUCAGGGAAAAGGCAGGUGAUGAUGAUGAUGAUGAUUGCGAACCAGGCAGAGCCGCUGGACAGCAACUGGACGAAGACAAAGUACAUGUCCUGGGUAUGGAGGAAAGGCCUGGAGGGUGGGCAAAGGUCACAGAGAAUCACACUGUUAGUCAGCCAACAUUUUUUAAGGCUCAACUAACCCUGUGAGUAAAGCCUGGAAUGGAACUUGAAGCUUUUUGACUGUCUGAGAUGACAAUGGAGAUAGUGAUGCUAGCCACUGUAAAACAGGUGAAAAUCUGAGUAGACUGUAUGCCACAUGCAGUUCAAUUACACUUGUUGGUCUUAUCACAUACUAUAUACUGGAGUGCCAUGUAUACUAGACAAACACAGGUUGUGUGGGAAAGAGAUGGCAGCUCAGCUCACCAGAUGAUUCCCCCAUAAAAAAGGGAGAAGAUGAAGUAGAAAGCGAUGGAGCCCCAGGUAACAAAGUGAUUCAUCCACGUCCAGAAGUGGGUCUCCAAGGCCAGCUGUUGACAGAGAGGAGAAACAACAUGUAGUUUGGUCAGAACAGCAUGUGAAACGCCAUAGGAGAGCAGAGAGGAGUGAGGUGCCAGUGACAACAAUAUCAAACAUAGAUAGAUUUCAUGUGGGAUUGCUUUCAGAUUUAUGAAUCAAACAAUUGCAAAAACUCAAAUAACAUGACUUACCUUCAGUGUAACAGUGAUGACCAUUACUGUGAAUACCAAAGUGCCAAAUGUCCAGUUUCCAAACAUCUACAAGACAAAUACAAUAAAACUUAAGAAUUUUCACAUAGAAAAUACAAUGACAUAACAUUAUCAUAGGAAUAAUACGUAGGGAUGUACACUGAGUAUACCUAACAGGAGCACCUUCUAAUAUUGAGUUGCCCCCCCCCUCCCCCUUUUGCCCUCAGAACA